rnacentral:rRNA from 1 species
UACAGAGGGGGCAAGCGUUGUUCGGAAUUACUGGGCGUAAAGGGCGCGUAGGCGGCCUUCUAAGUCGAACGUGAAAUCCCCGGGCUCAACCCGGGAACUGCGUCCGAUACUGGAAGGCUUGAAUCCGGGAGAGGGAUGCGGAAUUCCAGGUGUAGCGGUGAAAUGCGUAGAUAUCUGGAAGGAACACCGGUGGCGAAGGCGGCAUCCUGGACCGGCAUUGA